rnacentral:rRNA from 1 species
UUCUUCGGAUGAGUGGCGCACGGCUGAGGAACACGUGACUAACCUACCCCGGUGUGGGGGAUAACGGGUCGAAAGACUCGCUAAUCCCGCAUACGAUCCGCCUCGGCGGAGGAAAGCCGUAAGGCGCACUGGGCGGGGGUCGCGUCCCAUUAGAUAGUUGGUGUGGUAAUGGCGCACCAAGUCGAUGAUGGGUCUCUGGUCUGAGAGGACGACCAGACAGAUUGGGACUGAGACACGGCCCAAACUCCUACGGGGGGCAGCAGCAAGGAAUUUUCGGCAAUGGGCGCAAGCCUGACCGAGCAACGCCGCGUGGAGGAUGACGGCUCUUGGGUUGUAAACUCCUUUUGGGGGGGACGAUAAUGACGGUACCCUCCGAAUCAGGCCCGGCUAACUACGUGCCAGCAGCCGCGGUAAUACGUAGGGGCCAAGCGUUGUCCGGAAUUACUGGGCGUAAAGCGUGGGUAGGUGGUCGGUGAUGUGCCGCGUGAAAGCGCCGGAGUAAUGCCGGCGAGGUCGCGGUAGACACACGGACUCGAGGCUCGCAGAGGAACGUGGAAUUCCCGGUGUAGUGGUGAAAUGCGUAGAUAUCGGGAGGAACACCAGUGGCGCAAGCGGCGUUCUGGGCGAGACCUGACACUGAGCCACGACGGCGUGGGGAGCAAACAGGAUUAGAUACCCUGGUAGUCCACGCAGUAAACGAUGCAUACCAGGUGUGGGAUGGCGUUCGCGUCGUUCCGUGCCGCAGCUUACGCGAUGAGUAUGCCGCCUGGGGACUACGAGCGCAAGCUUAAAACUCAAA